rnacentral:misc_RNA from 1 species
UGGGGUCUCGCAAACCAUUCCGA